ACGCGAAACAGCGCCGCCCGCAAGGGCGGCGCUGUCUGCCGGGCGUGGUUGCCCGGUACUGAUGAGCAAGCCAAAG
rnacentral:hammerhead_ribozyme from 1 species